UACGGAGGGAGCUAGCGUUAUUCGGAAUUACUGGGCGUAAAGCGUACGUAGGCGGCUUUGUAAGUUAGAGGUGAAAGCCUGGAGCUCAACUCCAGAACUGCCUUUAAAAACUGCAUCGCUUGAAUCCAGGAGAGGUGAGUGGAAUUCCGAGUGUAGAGGUGAAAUUCGUAGAUAUUCGGAAGAACACCAGUGGCGAAGGCGGCUCACUGGAGCUGGUAUUGACGCUGAGGUACGAAAGCGUGGGGAGCAAACAGG
rnacentral:rRNA from 1 species